CGAAAGCGAAAGCAGCUAACUAUGAUAAUUCUGACGGUGAGGGACGAAAGCGUGGGGAGCAAACGGGAUUAGAUACCCCGGUAGUCCACGCCGUAAAUUAUGUCUGCUAGGUGUUUCUACGACUGUAGAAGUGCCGUAAGCUAACACAUUAAGCAGAUCGCCUGGGUAGUAUAUUCGCAAGAAUGAAACUCAAAGGGAUAGGCGGGGGAACACACAAGCAGUGGAUGAUCUAGAUUAAUUGGAUAAUAAGCCAAAAAUCUUACCCAGACUUGACAUGGAUUGUGUCUACGAUGAAAGUCGUAUAGUCUGCCGCAAGGCAGACGCUUUUCACAGAUGGUGCAUGGUCGCCGUCAGCUCGUGCCGCAAGGUGUCUAGUUAAGUCUAGUAACGAGCGCAACCCUCAUCGUUAGUUAAAUAUGUCUAACGAGACUGCCCGCGUAAGCGGGAGGAAGGAGAGGAUGACGUCAGAUCCUCAUGCCUCUUACGUCUGGGGCUUCAUAGAUCAUACAAUGGGUAGUUACAAUGAGAAGCAAUACCGCAAGGUGGAGCAAAUCUUCAAAGCUACCCUCAGUUCGGAUUGUAGUCUGGAAUUCGACUACAUGAAGUUGGAAUUGCUAGUAAUGGCGAAUCAGCAAUGUCGCCGUGAAUAUGUCCCUGUUCCUUGCACUCACCGCCCGUCAAACCAUGGGAGUUGGGGCUCUCUAAAGAUUCGCCAUGCGGGUUAAGGAGAGAACCGAUGACUGGGGUUAAGUCGUAACAAGGUAUCCCUACCGGAAGGUGGGGAUAG
rnacentral:rRNA from 1 species